rnacentral:sRNA from 1 species
GCUGGGUGUGGUGGCCCACACCUGUAAUUCCAGCUACUCAGGAGGCUGAGGCAGGAGAAUCACUUGAACCUGGGAGAUGAAGGCUGCAGUGAGCCAAGGUCACGCCACUGCACUCUAGCCUGGGUGACAGAGUAAGACUCUGUCUCAA